GUGGGGAAUCUUGCGCAAUGGGCGAAAGCCUGACGCAGCCAUGCCGCGUGAAUGAUGAAGGUCUUAGGAUUGUAAAAUUCUUUCACCGGGGACGAUAAUGACGGUACCCGGAGAAGAAGCUCCGGCUAACUUCGUGCCAGCAGCCGCGGUAAUACGAAGGGGGCUAGCGUUGCUCGGAAUUACUGGGCGUAAAGGGCGCGUAGGCGGACAGCUUAGUCAGAGGUGAAAGCCCAGGGCUCAACCUUGGAAUUGCCUUUGAUACUGGCUGUCUUGAGUUUGGGAGAGGUGAGUGGAACUCCGAGUGUAGAGGUAAAAUUCGUAGAUAUUCGGAAGAACACCAGUGGCGAAGGCGACUCACUGGCCCAAUACUGACGCUGAGGCGCGAAAGCGUGGGGAGCAAACAGGAUUAGAAACCCGUGUAGUCC
rnacentral:rRNA from 1 species